GACGAACGCUGGCGGCGUGCCUAAUACAUGCAAGUCGAACGAGUGGCGGACGGGUGAGUAACACGUGGGAACCUACCCAUCAGAGGGGGAUAACACUUGGAAAAGGUGGCUAAUACCGCAAACGGUCGGAUGAACCGAUAUGGGAUUGGUUAGUUGGCGGGGUAAAGGCGCACCUAGGCGACGAGCGCUAGCUGGUCUGAGAGGAUGAUCGGCCACACUGGGACUGAGACACGGCCCAGACUCCUACGGGAGGCAGCAGUGGGGAAUAUUGCACAAUGGGCGCAAGCCUGAUGCAGCCAUGCCGCGUGUAUGAAGAAGGCUUUAGGGUUGUAAAGUACUUUCAGUGGGGAGGCGUUACCCGCAGAGGAAGCACCGGCUAACUCCGUGCCAGCAGCCGCGGUAAUAC
rnacentral:rRNA from 1 species